rnacentral:lncRNA from 1 species
GUCUGCCUGCCAGCCCCGUGCUCCCGCGGGGGGGCGGGAAUUGCCGCUGUCGCGCGCCUCCCAGCCCCCCUCGCUCAUUGGGCAGUUAGAAAGGGCGCGGUGAUCUCAUUGGACGGUCGUGCCUGUCAAUCGCGGCAGUUCAACCAUGGGAGGAUUUUCGCUACCCAUUGGACACUGGACCUAACUUACUUUCUCCUUCUGAUUGGCUCUCCUACCUGCCAGUUACAAUAAUCGAACUGCGGCCCCGCCCCGCCCUUUGCCAUUGGCUCUCUCGCUUAGAUGUGACUUCCCGUCGUACCGCUCCAAAUCUCGCGAGUUGCUCAGUCCCCGCCCCCUUUUCUCAUUGGUCACUAGUCAACCCAUCGCUUUGCUCUGAUUGGUCAGUCCCUACGCCGCUCACGAAGGAGAGCGCCCUCCCCCCAAAUUCCACUCCUGGGUUAUCAUUGGGCGAGAAAAUGUCCCCAGGCGUUUGAUUGGCUGUAGACAGGCAGAGUGUGAUUGGCUAGGGCAAAAAUCAAUCAGCUUUAUUCGGGCUCUGAUUGGUCUCCGCGGAGAGGGGGGCGGUCCCCGGCAGAGCUGGCGGUGCGGCGGCACCUGAGGGCUCAGAGUGAAGCGGGCUGUGGUGCAGAGCGGAGCUCCCUGUGCCUCCCCUUGGCUCUCUAGUGCACCCACCGGGCUGGGCUGAAGCCACUGCGGGGGAAGAGGCGGGAGCUCGGCUGUAUUCAGUGCCUGUCUAACCCUCUCCGUUUCCUUGUGCAUGUCCAGGGAAUGCAGGGAAGCCCCCGCAGCUCUCUGAGGCUCCCCAGGGCCCGACCCGCGCUCCUUCUGCCGGGUUUGGAACCCUGCGUAGGUGCAGGGACUGUCUCGGGCCACGGCCACUCCUCGCUCGGGACCACCAGAUCGCUUGAAAUAUUUCCUAUUUAAAGCUUCACAUUGCAGUGGUUUAUCCUGCUUUCACCAGCGGUCCCACGUUCCCUUGGGGAGCUGGAGCUCGGAGAUGGGGAAAAGGGCUAACUGGAGAAUUAUCCAGUCGUUCUUCUUGUCUGCCAUCCAAACACAUCAAAAUCCAGCAGUUCCUGAGGAGGAAUUCCCUGGAGCUACACUGAUGUGGGAAGGACUCGUCUGUCUGGAAGGACUGUUGUCUUCUGGUACAGGGCCAGAGACUCCUGGAGUCGUGGGAGGGUUUCAGUGGUGGGUAAAUGGCUGAUUGUGAAAUCCCUCAAGGUUGGAAAAGCCUUCCAAGACCAUCGAGUCUAACUUGUGCCUGAUCUCUGCCCUUGUCCCCAGCCCAGAGCUCCGAGUGCCACGUCCAGGUGUUCACUGAACACUCCGGGGAUGGGCACUCCAAACCUCCCUGGUUUUGCCAAGGGAGCCAAGGCCUGAGCUCCCUUUCCAUGGGGAAAUUCCUGCAGGUGUCCACCCUGAGCCUCCCCUGGCCCAGCUGAGGCCGUUCCCUCUCCUCCUGUCCCUGUUCCCUGGCAGCAGAGCCCGACCCCCCCGGCUGUCCCCUCCUGCCAGGGACUUGUGCAGAGCCACAAGGGCCCCCUGAGCCUCCUUUGCUCCAGGCUGAGCCCCUUUCCAGCUCCCUCAGCUGCUCCUGGGGCUCCAGACCCUUCCCCAGCCCCGUUCCCUUCCCCGGACACACUCCAGCCCCUCCAUGUCCUUCUUGUCAUGAUGAACCCAAAACUGACUCCAGGAUUAGAGGUGAGGCCUCAGCAGCACCAAGAACAGAGG